AAACUCUGAAUUCUCAUAAUCGUCUCGGCUAUUGAAGAACAAACAUCUCUAAGCACAAAAAAACCUUCACAAACUUUUUGACAACCUACUUCCGUAAACAGGCUAUACACGAAAAUGUGUAAUCCUUGCUUGCGUUCAAUGCCUGGCACCUGUUGCGGCCCAACAGGUGGGCUGGGGCCAUGCGGCUUCUGCGGGCCCUACAAUGGACAGUGGUUUAGGGCAGUCAACCACUGUUGCGGUCCUAUAGGACCAUAUGGGUGUUGCUCCUGCUAUGGACCCUUUGGUGGCCACUGCUAGCCUGGUUAGAAGGAAAGUAGGUUUCAAAAACUGGUCGAGG